rnacentral:lncRNA from 1 species
CUGACCUUCUCUCGGCUCUGCACUCUCCCUGCAGCUUCCCUUGUUGCUGUUCCACUUCCGCGUUCCACUUAUGAGUCCAGAUUCCUGCACCUCGCCCAGAAGGGGCUUUGCCCCGCCCAGGGCCUGCACAGUUGGCGCCCACCAGCAUCAGCGUGAAGGGAGCUCCUCGCCGGCUGGCGACGGGGCUGCAGGGCUCGCUAGCCGCUCACCUGCGUGUGAGCGCGGAGCCCGCAGUACCCGCCGUCCGGGCUCAGAGGACGUGACUCCCCGACCCUGCGCCCGGC